CAAGCCCGAUGUCCCACAAAUGUCUGUAACUCCCUAUGCAAGGGAUCCAAUGCCCUCUUCUGGUCUGCAUCUGUACACAUAUGCAUGAAUGCACACACAUGCACAAAUAAAUCAAUUAAAUAUUUUAAGAAUUACAUGUCUAGGUAGAAGACUGAUCAUCCACAGCUUCUCCAGAACAUAUUCCUUGCACUGCAGAAGCAUUCUGCAAAAAUGUCCACCAGGCUCCAGCAACUGAGCCACCCAUCUGGGAAACAGCUCCGGAACCCCUUCCGACACCAGGCAGGACAAGCAGCAAUCACUAAACCUCUGCCAGCUCAUUUGCGGCCAGUGUUUUUCACAGAUGCUCCCUGGUACACAUCUGAUGACAGUCACUUCACCUCCCAUUACGUUUUCUAAGAUAUUUUAGAACAU
rnacentral:lncRNA from 1 species